GACGAACGCUGGCGGCGUGCUUAACACAUGCAAGUCGAACGGAAAGGCCCUGCUUUUGUGGGGUGCUCGAGUGGCGAACGGGUGAGUAACACGUGAGUAACCUGCCCUUGACUUUGGGAUAACUUCAGGAAACUGGGGCUAAUACCGGAUAGGAGCUCCUGCUGCAUGGUGGGGGUUGGAAAGUUUCGGCGGUUGGGGAUGGACUCGCGGCUUAUCAGCUUGUUGGUGGGGUAGUUGCUUACCAAGGCUUUGACGGGUAGCCGGCCUGAGAGGGUGACCGGGCACAUUGGGACUGAGAGAGGGACCAGACUCGUACGGGAGGCAGCAGGGGGGAAUAUUGCACAAUGGGCGGAAGCCUGAUGCAGCAACGCCGCGUGCGGGAUGAAGGCCUUCGGGGUGUAAACCGCUUUCGCCUGUGACGAAGCGUGAGUGACGGUAAUGGGUAAAGAAGCACCGGCUAACUACGUG
rnacentral:rRNA from 1 species